rnacentral:rRNA from 1 species
GGGUUGUGAGGUUAAGCGACUAAGCGUACACGGUGGAUGCCCUGGCAGUCAGAGGCGAUGAAGGACGUGCUAAUCUGCGAUAAGCGCCGGUAAGGUGAUAUGAACCGUUAUAACCGGCGAUUUCCGAAUGGGGAAACCCAGUGUGACUCGUCACACUAUCAUUAACUGAAUCCAUAGGUUAAUGAGGCGAACCGGGGGAACUGAAACAUCUAAGUACCCCGAGGAAAAGAAAUCAACCGAGAUUCCCCCAGUAGCGGCGAGCGAACGGGGAGGAGCCCAGAGCCUGAAUCAGCAUGUGUGUUAGUGGAAGCGUCUGGAAAGGCGCGCGAUACAGGGUGACAGCCCCGUACACAAAAGCGCAUGUGCUGUGAGCUCGAUGAGUAGGGCGGGACACGUGGUAUCCUGUCUGAAUAUGGGGGGACCAUCCUCCAAGGCUAAAUACUCCUGACUGACCGAUAGUGAACCAGUACCGUGAGGGAAAGGCGAAAAGAACCCCGGCGAGGGGAGUGAAAAAGAACCUGAAACCGUGUACGUACAAGCAGUGGGAGCACAGGUUUACCUGUGUGACUGCGUACCUUUUGUAUAAUGGGUCAGCGACUUAUAUUCUGUAGCAAGGUUAACCGAAUAGGGGAGCCGGAGGGAAACCGAGUCUUAAUUGGGCGUUAAGUUGCAGGGUAUAGACCCGAAACCCGGUGAUCUAGCCAUGGGCAGGUUGAAGGUUGGGUAACACUAACUGGAGGACCGAACCGACUAAUGUUGAAAAAUUAGCGGAUGACCUGUGGCUGGGGGUGAAAGGCCAAUCAAACCGGGAGAUAGCUGGUUCUCCCCGAAAGCUAUUUAGGUAGCGCCUCGUGAACUCAUCUUCGGGGGUAGAGCACUGUUUCGGCUAGGGGGCCAUCCCGACUUACCAACCCGAUGCAAACUGCGAAUACCGGAGAAUGUUAUCACGGGAGACACACGGCGGGUGCUAACGUCCGUCGUGAAGAGGGAAACAACCCAGACCGCCAGCUAAGGUCCCAAAGUCAUGGUUAAGUGGGAAACGAUGUGGGAAGGCCCAGACAGCCAGGAUGUUGGCUUAGAAGCAGCCAUCAUUUAAAGAAAGCGUAAUAGCUCACUGGUCGAGUCGGCCUGCGCGGAAGAUGUAACGGGGCUAAACCAUGCACCGAAGCUGCGGCAGCGAACGUAUCACCCAAGACAACUUUACGGAGUUGACGAUUGACGGAGCGAAGCGACGUCAAAGCGUUCAUUAAAGUCGAGUUGGCUUAGGGAUGCGUUCGUUGGGUAGGGGAGCGUUCUGUAAGCCUGCGAAGGUGUGUCGUGAGGGUUGCUGGAGGUAUCAGAAGUGCGAAUGCUGACAUAAGUAACGAUAAAGCGGGUGAAAAGCCCGCUCGCCGGAAGACCAAGGGUUCCUGUCCAACGUUAAUCGGGGCAGGGUGAGUCGACCCCUAAGGCGAGGCCGAAAGGCGUAGUCGAUGGGAAACGGGUUAAUAUUCCCGUACUUGGUGUUACUGCGAAGGGGGGACGGAGAAGGCUAUGUUGGCCGGGCGACGGUUGUCCCGGUUUAAGCGUGUAGGUGUGUGUUCCAGGUAAAUCCGGUUCACUUUAACACUGAGGCGUGAUGACGAGGCACUACGGUGCUGAAGCAACAAAUGCCCUGCUUCCAGGAAAAGCCUCUAAGCAUCAGGUAACAUCAAAUCGUACCCCAAACCGACACAGGUGGUCAGGUAGAGAAUACCAAGGCGCUUGAGAGAACUCGGGUGAAGGAACUAGGCAAAAUGGUGCCGUAACUUCGGGAGAAGGCACGCUGACAUGUAGGUGAAGUGAUUUACUCAUGGAGCUGAAGUCAGUCGAAGAUACCAGCUGGCUGCAACUGUUUAUUAAAAACACAGCACUGUGCAAACACGAAAGUGGACGUAUACGGUGUGACGCCUGCCCGGUGCCGGAAGGUUAAUUGAUGGGGUCAGCGCAAGCGAAGCUCCUGAUCGAAGCCCCGGUAAACGGCGGCCGUAACUAUAACGGUCCUAAGGUAGCGAAAUUCCUUGUCGGGUAAGUUCCGACCUGCACGAAUGGCGUAAUGAUGGCCAGGCUGUCUCCACCCGAGACUCAGUGAAAUUGAACUCGCUGUGAAGAUGCAGUGUACCCGCGGCAAGACGGAAAGACCCCGUGAACCUUUACUAUAGCUUGACACUGAACAUUGAGCCUUGAUGUGUAGGAUAGGUGGGAGGCUUUGAAGUGUGGACGCCAGUCUGCAUGGAGCCGACCUUGAAAUACCACCCUUUAAUGUUUGAUGUUCUAACGUGGACCCGUUACCCGGGUUGCGGACAGUGUCUGGUGGGUAGUUUGACUGGGGCGGUCUCCUCCUAAAGAGUAACGGAGGAGCACGAAGGUUGGCUAAUCCUGGUCGGACAUCAGGAGGUUAGUGCAAUGGCAUAAGCCAGCUUGACUGCGAGCGUGACGGCGCGAGCAGGUGCGAAAGCAGGUCAUAGUGAUCCGGUGGUUCUGAAUGGAAGGGCCAUCGCUCAACGGAUAAAAGGUACUCCGGGGAUAACAGGCUGAUACCGCCCAAGAGUUCAUAUCGACGGCGGUGUUUGGCACCUCGAUGUCGGCUCAUCACAUCCUGGGGCUGAAGUAGGUCCCAAGGGUAUGGCUGUUCGCCAUUUAAAGUGGUACGCGAGCUGGGUUUAGAACGUCGUGAGACAGUUCGGUCCCUAUCUGCCGUGGGCGCUGGAGAACUGAGGGGGGCUGCUCCUAGUACGAGAGGACCGGAGUGGACGCAUCACUGGUGUUCGGGUUGUCAUGCCAAUGGCACUGCCCGGUAGCUAAAUGCGGAAGAGAUAAGUGCUGAAAGCAUCUAAGCACGAAACUUGCCCCGAGAUGAGUUCUCCCUGAGACUUAGAGUCUCCUGAAGGAACGUUGAAGACGACGACGUUGAUAGGCCGGGUGUGUAAGCGCAGCGAUGCGUUGAGCUAACCGGUACUAAUGAACCGUGAGGCUUAACCUUACAACGCCGAAG